CACAAACAAUCUGCAGCUGGGACCAGAGGCCAAGCGGUGGCGGCGGCAGUGGCUGGAGGUAUGGGUGAGCAGGAUGUUACAGUUGCUGUCUCAGGAACAAAUGCUUCUAAGUUUCCUCUUGGCGUGGAGUUCUGCGUUGGCACAGAUCCUUUCUCCUCUGAGUGCAUGGAAACAGUCUGCCACCUUCUGAUUCUUGUUAUUUCUGUUGAGAAGUCCACUGUCGCCGGGCGUGGUGGCGCAUGCCUUUAAUCCCAGCACUUGGGAGGCAGAGGCAGGUGGAUUUCUGAGUUCGAGGCCAGCCUGGUCUACAGAGUGAGUUCCAGGACAGCCAGGGCUACACAGAGAAACCCUGUCUCAAAAAACAAACAAACAAACAAGAGAAGUCCACUGUCAUUUAACACCUCCCCUUGCUCCUUUAAAAAUGAAACAUCCUUUUUCUUCUCUA
rnacentral:lncRNA from 1 species